UGUCUGUGUGUGUGUGUGUGUUUGUGUGUGUGUGUGUUCUCUAUCCUCCUCCUUCUCCUCCUCCUCUUCGCGCAGAGCUCCAAAUCCCGUAUUAACGCCCAGCACUCGGGGGGGUCUUCAGCACAGGAAGGCUACAACAAUGAACAGAUCAGAUCCAAUGAUGCAUAGAAGAAGCUUUAUGGAAACGUGAAGAGAUGAAACAGCUGUUUAAUCAGAUUAAAGCAGAUGAAUACAGACGUCAUAUUGAGGUGUGGAUGAUGACACUGAGCUGAUGGACAGUGGAUCUGAAAGUCCUCACCUGAGCGGCUUCUUCCUCAGAUUUAAUCCUAUUAAUCACAUUACAGCAUUAACUCAACAGGAAACGCCUGUGGUGAAAAGUUAGCCGUGGUUUUACACGGAAAGUGGCGGUUUCCUCAAAACAACAAAAUUCUGUCUAAAACAUUGACUCAGAUGGGAUGAGCCUGUAGCGAGAAAGAAAAGGAAACAUUUAACUCAAGUAAUAUUGUGUGAAAUGAACUUCAAAUAUUAGAUC